GAGAGGAAGAUGCGUAGUAUACAUGAAAAAGCGUAUAAUAACAAGAAUACCAAUUUCCUCAACAAGGUAUUCUUCCUUCAUAAUUCUUGUGCAGUUGGAAACCUCCUUUUGUUUCCUCCAACAAAUUAAAAACACAACUCCGAUCAAGAAUCUGAAAUCGAACUUCUCGAUUUCAAAAGAUUCUGAGAAACCAAAACUUCUGCAUCAUGAAAUACAAAAAAGGAAGUAUAGUGGAAGUCCUGAACACAGACAAAGCUCCUUCCCAUUCAUGGCGUUAUGCUCAAAUAGUUUCCCACAAUAAACACAAAUACACAGUCAGAUACGAUGUCUACCAUGGAAACCAACAACAAGAAGAAGAAGAAGAACACAUAUCAAGAAAAUUCAUCAGACCAUGUCCUCCCACAGUUGAAAUUUCAGAACACUACCCUGGUGAUGUAGUGGAAGUGUUUCACAAUCUUUCAUGGAAGAUGGCAAUCGUUUCCAAAUCAUUCAAUUUGAACUUAUUUCAAGUAAGAUUAGUCGGAUCUUUUAUCGAGAUCAAAGCAAGAAAAUCAGAACUCCGUGUACGCCAAUCAUGGCAGAAUAACAAAUGGGUUGUGAUUGGAAACCACAACAAGAAGCAAAGGUACACUAAUGAUAGUGUUAGUGUUACUAGUUCUGUUGGUAGUUGCAGUGUUGAUGAUAAAUUUCAUCAGAAUAUAAAAGAAGGUGAUAUUGAUGAUAGUGAUGAUGGGGAGUCUGUUUGUGAAGGAGGGUAUUUUGGGGAUAAUAAAAAGAAGUUGAGAUUGGGGGAAGAGAUACAUAGGUUAGAGUUGAAGGCGUAUAGGCGUACUAUUGAGGCGUUACAUGCGUCAGGACCAUUAAGUUGGGAAAAAGAAUCAAUGGCCCAAAAGUUGGAAGCUUGUAUUGCUGGGUGUGCCACCUUCUCUGUUGGUGUUGGAUGACGUGGCACACACAAAAUAAGAUCUGUUGAAAACAGCUAAUCAUUACCCUCUUGUGUACUUAAUAUAUUCGUAUGAUGUGAUAUGUUAAUCGGGCUAUUUUGGUUUUAUGAUGUAGGUUUUUUACAUAAGUUUAUGUAUGCAGUUUGAUAUUCAAGUUUUUGAUAUUCAACGAUCGUUAUGCAGCUUAUGAUGGUAAAAUUUGUAUAUGAAAUCAAGACAGGUAGUCAAUGCCUUUCUUUUGUUUAACUCUUAGGGGUUGUUUCAUAUGCCUCUUAUGAGAUUUGGUAAGAGGUUGGGUUUGACUUGGUUAAAUUGAGAUUGUUUGAUGCGAUACUUAGAAGAUUCUAACUCGUGACUCGGUCAUGACUCCUCUAAAAUGCCUCUUAAUCGGUCAGGUUCCGGACGAAUGAGUAUUUACUAAAUUAGACGUCGACUCGAUCAUAUAUGAUUCAAUCAACAACUAUCAAAUAACUCUUUUACUCUUAAUAUUAGAACACUAAUAUGAUCUACAGUUUUUAUUUUUUUA